UACAGAGGUCUCAACCGUUGUUCGGAUUCAUUGGGCGUAAAGGGUGCGUAGGCGGUCGCGCAAGUCGGAUGUGAAAUCUUAGGGCUCAACCCUGAAACUGCAUUCGAUACUGCGUGGCUCGAGUACUGGAGAGGAGACUGGAAUUUACGGUGUAGCAGUGAAAUGCGUAGAUAUCGAGAGGAACACCAGUGGCGAAGGCGAGUCCCUGGACAACUCCUGACGCUGAGGCACGAAAGCUAGGGGAGCAAACAGG
rnacentral:rRNA from 1 species